rnacentral:tRNA from 1 species
GCGCCCGUAGUUCAAUGGAUAGAACAUAUGGCUUCGGACCAUAAAGUUGGGGGUUCGACUCCCUCCGGGCGCACCA